rnacentral:misc_RNA from 1 species
AAGACUAUAGACCUGCGGAGUACCUGCGGAGGGAUCAUUACUGAGUUAGGGUCUUUUUGGCCUGACCUCCAACCCUUUGUUUAUUAAACCAUGUUGCUUUGGCGGGCCUGCCUUUCGGGGCUGCCGGGGGCGUCACUGCCCCUGACUCGUGCCUGCCAGGAGCCUUCUUAAAUUCCGUGUUCAAAUGGUGCUGUCUGAGUCCCGGUAUCAAAAUAUCAUAAAACUUUUAGCAACGGAUCU